AACCCGGUGUUUUUCAACACCACCAAAAUGGUUAAUCCCUUGCAAG
rfam:Gonium pectorale scaffold00157, whole genome shotgun sequence.